rnacentral:rRNA from 1 species
UACGUAGGGUGCAAGCGUUGUCCGGAAUUAUUGGGCGUAAAGAGCUCGUAGGUGGUUUGUCGCGUCUGCUGUGAAAACUCGGGGCUUAACCCCGGGCCUGCAGUGGGUACGGGCAGACUAGAGUGCAGUAGGGGAGACUGGAAUUCCUGGUGUAGCGGUGAAAUGCGCAGAUAUCAGGAGGAACACCGAUGGCGAAGGCAGGUCUCUGGGCUGUAACUGACGCUGAGGAGCGAAAGCAUGGGGAGCGAACAGG